CACGUAGGGUCCGAGCGUUGUCCGGAAUUACUGGGCGUAAAGCGCGCGCAGGCGGUCGGGUUCGUCGCUGGUGAAAGCCCCACGCUCAACGUGGGAAGGUCCGGCGAGACAGCCCGACUGGAGGCAGGGAGAGGUCGGUGGAAUUCCGGGUGUAGUGGUGAAAUGCGUAGAGAUCCGGAGGAACACCAGAGGCGAAGGCGGCCGACUGGACCUGACCUGACGCUGAGGCGCGAAGGCGUGGGGAGCGAACGGG
rnacentral:rRNA from 2 species